rnacentral:rRNA from 1 species
UACGAGUGCCUCAAGCGUUAUCCGGAAUUAUUGGGCGUAAAGGUUGUGUAGGUGGUCGUGUUAGUCUUUUGUUAAAUUCUUCGGCUUAACCGGGGGCAUGCAAAAGAAAACGGCACGACUCGAGGAUGCGAGGGGUCUGCGGAACUCAUAGUGUAGCGGUGAAAUGCGUUGAUAUUAUGGGGGAACACCAAAAAGCGAAGGCAGCAGACUGGAGCACUCCUGACACUGAAACAAGAAAAGCGUGGGGUAGCGA